rnacentral:rRNA from 1 species
GAUGAACGCUGGCGGCGUGCCUAAUACAUGCAAGUCGAGCGAACAGACGAGGAGCUUGCUCCUCUGACGUUAGCGGCGGACGGGUGAGUAACACGUGGAUAACCUACCUAUAAGACUGGGAUAACUUCGGGAAACCGGAGCUAAUACCGGAUAAUAUAUUGAACCGCAUGGUUCAAUAGUGAAAGACGGUUUUGCUGUCUCUUAUAGAUGGAUCCGCGCCGCAUUAGCUAGUUGGUAAGGUAACGGCUUACCAAGGCAACGAUGCGUAGCCGACCUGAGAGGGUGAUCGGCCACACUGGAACUGAGACACGGUCCAGACUCCUACGGGAGGCAGCAGUAGGGAAUAUUCGGCAAUGGGCGAAAGCCUGACGGAGCAACGCCGCGUGAGUGAUGAAGGUCUUCGGAUCGUAAAACUCUGUUAUUAGGGAAGAACAAAUGUGUAAGUAAAUAUGCACGUCUUGACGGUACCUAAUCAGAAAGCCACGGCUAACUACGUG